AUUGAACGCUGGCGGCAGGCCUAACACAUGCAAGUCGAGCGGUAGCAUUUCCAGCUUGCUGGAAGAUGACGAGCGGCGGACGGGUGAGUAACGCGUAGGAAUCUACCGAGUAGUGGGGGACAACCGAGUGGAAACGCUGGCUAAUACCGCAUACGCCCUACGGGGGAAAGCAGGGGAUCGUUCGGACCUUGCGCUAUUUGAUGAGCCUGCGUGAGAUUAGCUUGUUGGUGAGGUAAAGGCUCACCAAGGCAACGAUCUCUAGCUGGUCUGAGAGGAUGAUCAGCCACACU
rnacentral:rRNA from 1 species